rnacentral:tRNA from 1 species
GGGGUAGCCUAGUGGACAUGGCAUCUGCCCGGUAAGCGGAACACUGUGGGUUCGAUUCCCAUCCCUGGACG